GUAGUACAUGUCAAUGUGUAGGCCAUGCAGUACAUACUUAAACUAAAAGACGAGCGGAAUGGGAAAGCCCGUUCAGAAGUUCUGGAUGACGGGUUAUUAUCAAAGGACCACGAGUUUUACCAUGCCCUGACAGAAGACGAUGUUCCAAAUGAAGUAGAGAAUAUGAAGCCGAAAGAUUUGACAGUGGAACUCUUCAGAUUGCCUGUUGCCUCGUGAAAUCUGACGUUUAAAGUAGAGAAGAUUGGGUCAGUAUCCACGUCUGAUUUGGACAGCAAGGAUGUGUUUAUUGUUGACAUCAAGAAAGCUGUCUACGUGUGGAUUUGAUUGGAAACUACUGUUGCUGAGAGAAAGAAUGCAAUGACAUAUGCCCAUAAAUAUCUACAGAAAACUGACCAUCCACUUUUGAGCGUCACGUGCCUGUCUGAAGGAAAACAUGACAGACAGAUCAGCAUGGCUCUCAGCGCCUAGUUACACGAGAACAAAGGCCGAUGCUAAUCUAAUCAUAUAUAUUUGAUACUGAGAGAUUACAGUUUCUGAGCUGAAAGAACUUUUAAAUAUGUUGUUUUCAUAUCGGAUAUAAUCGUAGUUUAAAUGUUUUGAUGUAGAUUUAGCAAUACAAAGUUUUCUAUUCAAUGACAUGAAUUUCUUUUCCACUAAUAUAUCUAUAAUCCAGAUUUAGCAAUAUGUAUACUUACAGAUGGAUUUAUAUGUAUGUUCAGGGGAAAAUUACCACCAAUUGUUGGAGAAACUCAUCUUUAUUUCUCUUUAUCACUAACCCUUUUCCCCUUUAUAUUCCUAUUUUUUUAUUUUUUUAUUUUUUAAUAUAUAUACAAUUAUAGACGUAACUUAUAUGAAGUGUAAAUUAUAAGGGUUUUUUGGAAUUUAUGAUUAUUUUUGGAAUACUUUUUCAUUCCUUUCUUUUUCUCUAGUUUUUAUAUAGUGCUAUUUUCUUGUGCAAUAAUGCAGCAUAUCGCAGAUCAUCCAUAUAUAGAAA